UUUUCCCACGAACCUCCACAA
rnacentral:piRNA from 1 species